rnacentral:rRNA from 1 species
CCUACGGGAGGCAGCAGUGGGGAAUAUUGGGCAAUGGGCGCAAGCCUGACCCAGCAACGCCGCGUGAAGGAAGAAGGCUUUCGGGUUGUAAACUUCUUUUCUCAGGGACGAAGCAAGUGACGGUACCUGAGGAAUAAGCCUCGGCUAACUACGUGCCAGCAGCCGCGGUAAUACGUAGGUGGCAAGCGUUAUCCGGAUUUACUGGGUGUAAAGGGCGUGUAGGCGGGAAAGCAAGUCAGAUGUGAAAACCAUGGGCUCAACCUGUGGCCUGCAUUUGAAACUGUUUUUCUUGAGUACUGGGGAGGCAGACGGAAUUCCUAGUGUAGCGGUGAAAUGCGUAGAUAUUAGGAGGAACACCAGUGGCGAAGGCGGUCUGCUGGACAGCAACUGACGCUGAGGCGCGAAAGCGUGGGUAUCAAACAGGAUUAGAUACCCCAGUAGUC